ensembl:lncRNA
UUUAGAGUUGGCUCAUAGCACAGGUUUUUCAGUGCAAAUGUGUGUGUGUGUGAGGUCACUAGCGCCCCCACUGCGGUACUGCACCCUCUGCUCCGCACACACACUCAUUCCAAAUAUGGUUGGGCACGCCCACUUCCUGGUCCUCACGAGGAAGGAUUCUCAACAACAACAGAUUUUCAGUGUUAAAUGUCGAUGAUGACACAAAUGAGAAGAUAAAAGAUUAAUUGCAGCUGCUAAAGGGCUACAAACUUCUACAGAGGAGCAAGAGUGAAACAGAAGGUAAGCACAUUUGUAUGACAAACCAUUAUAACUACUUUUCUACCCUCCAAUUAGGUUAAUUAACUCUGGUUGGUUCGCAAAAUAGUUAAAUAAUUAUAUUUUUGUUAGCUAUCCUGCUAAUUACCUAGUCUGUAUGGCUAACUACCCUCUGAGUGUGGGUCUAAUGUCUAAUUACAGCUUUCCAAUUGGCUAGUAUUAGUUACAGUUUCAUGUAAUUUAGUAUGAAGGAGUUAUUGCAAACUAAGAAGACACUGCUAAAUCUCUAGCCUAACUGAAUGCUCUUGGAAUAUAUAGGGGGAAAGUGAUUCUUCUAAAGUUUAACAUUUAGUGUGUAGUUGGUCACAUUAUUUUCUUUUCUAGGGGCACCAUCAUUUUUGUCCAGGCCUGUUUCAUGAGUUUAUUUUUUAAAAUAAUUCUGUUGAACCACAGUUCAAAAGCAAUGUCUGAUUUUCAUUAGUAAAUUUUCAUAGAAUUUUUAUUUAUUACUUUUGUCAGAUUCAAAUUAUUUCUGUGACCAUUGUGGGUUUUUCUUUCAUUAACCGAGAGGUACCAACAAUUUUAUCCACGUGUGUACUAAAGUAGCGAUAGUCAGAAUUUGUACAAAAAUAUAAAAUGAUCAUUUCUGUCUGUCACUUCCGUUGUGAGCCUUUUAUUUUGAAAGUAAACAGGAAGUUAAGUGUCAUGUACCACCGCUAGCUUUGUGACCUCAGCAGUUGCGAGAGUACAGGGAAUGGAAAUGACGAGGACAGAGCACAACUGGCAGUGAGCUGCUGAAGAGUGAUUCGUGAGUGUUCAAUCUUUCUGGUUGAGAUGCCACCACGGGUGAGCCCCCUUAAGGAUGCCAUUCAGCAUGUUGUUUCAAAGACUGAUAAAACAUACAAAUUAGAGGUGAAGUACAUCAAUGCAGUUAAAGGACGUGGUUUGUUUGCAGCGAGUUCGAUAUGUAAAGGAGAAUUUGUAGUUGAAUAUAGAGGAGAUUUGAUAAAUGAUGCAGAAUCCCAGAGAAGAAGAUCACUUUACCACCCAUCAUGUGUUGCUUUUAUGUUUGCAUUCAAGUGGAGAGGA